rnacentral:rRNA from 1 species
GGUUAAGUUAAUAAGGGCGCACGGUGGAUGCCUUGGCACUAGAAGCCGAUGAAGGACGUGACUAACGACGAAAUGCCUUGGGGAGCUGUAAGUAAGCAAUGAUCCAGGGAUGUCCGAAUGGGGGAACCCGGCAGGUAAUGCCUGUCACUCACUACUGUUAAGGUAGUGAAGAGGAAGACGCAGUGAACUGAAACAUCUAAGUAGCUGCAGGAAGAGAAAGCAAAAGCGAUUGCCUUAGUAGCGGCGAGCGAAACGGCAGGAGGGCAAACCGAGGAGUUUACUCCUCGGGGUUGUAGGACUGCAAUGUGGACUUAAAGAGUAUAGAAGAACUACCUGGGAAGGUAGGCCAAAGAGAGUAAAAGCCUCGUAUUUGAAAUAUUCUUUAUACCUAGCAGUAUCCUGAGUACGGCGAGACACGCGAAAUCUCGUCGGAAUCCGGGAGGACCAUCUCCCAACCCUAAAUACUCUCUAGUGACCGAUAGUGAACCAGUACCGUGAGGGAAAGGUGAAAAGUACCCCGGAAGGGGAGUGAAAUAGAACCUGAAACCGUGUGCCUACAACAAGUUCGAGCCCGUUAAUGGGUGAGAGCGUGCCUUUUGUAGAAUGAACCGGCGAGUUACGAUAUGAUGCGAGGUUAAGUUGAAGAGACGGAGCCGUAGGGAAACCGAGUCUUAAUAGGGCGCAUUAGUAUUAUGUCGUAGACCCGAAACCAUGUGACCUACCCAUGAGCAGGUUGAAGGUGCGGUAAGACGCACUGGAGGACCGAACCAGGGCACGUUGAAAAGUGCUUGGAUGACUUGUGGGUAGCGGAGAAAUUCCAAACGAACUUGGAGAUAGCUGGUUCUCUCCGAAAUAGCUUUAGGGCUAGCGUCGACAUUUGAGAAUCUUGGAGGUAGAGCACUGUUUGGAUGAGGGGGCCAUCUCGGUUUACUGAUUUCAGAUAAACUCCGAAUGCCAAUGAUUUAUGGUCGGCAGUCAGACUGCGAGUGCUAAGAUCCGUAGUCGAAAGGGAAACAGCCCAGACCACCAGCUAAGGUCCCAAAAUAAUUGUUAAGUGGAAAAGGAUGUGGGGUUGCACAGACAACUAGGAUGUUAGCUUAGAAGCAGCUAUUCAUUCAAAGAGUGCGUAAUAGCUCACUAGUCGAGUGACCCUGCGCCGAAAAUGUACCGGGGCUAAAACAAUUUACCGAAGCUGUGGAUAACACUUAGG